AGCUCCAAUAGCAUAUAUUAAAAUUGCUGCAGUUAAAAAGCUCGUAGUUGGACUUCUGUAAAAUUUGUAGUUCGGGGUUUUCUCCGUUCCGCUCUUUUUGCAUCCUUCUGUUAACCUUAUAGGGUCUUUACCGGUUUUAUUUGGAGCCCAGAUACUUUACCUUGAGAAAAUUAGAGUGUUUCAGGCAGGCUUUAGCCAGAAUACAUUAGCAUGGAAUAAUAGAAAAGGACUUCGAGCAGUUCGUUGGUCUCGCGCGAAGUAAUGAUUAAUAGGGAUAGUUGGGGGCAUUGGUAUUUAAUUGUCAGAGGUGAAAUUCUUUGAUUUGUUAAAGACUAACUAAUGCGAAAGCAUUUGCCAAGAAUGUUUUCA
rnacentral:rRNA from 1 species